CUUGAGAGCGGCGUACGGGUGCGGAACACGUGUGCAACCUGCCUUUAUCAGAGGGAUAGCCUUUCGAAAGGAAGAUUAAUACCUCAUAAUAUACUGAUUGGCAUCAAUUAGUAUUGAAAGCUCCGGCGGAUAGAGAUGGGCACGCGCAAGAUUAGAUAGUUGGUGAGGUAACGGCUCACCAAGUCAAUGAUCUUUAGGGGGCCUGAGAGGGUGAUCCCCCACACUGGUACUGAGACACGGACCAGACUCCUACGGGAGGCAGCAGUGAGGAAUAUUGGACAAUGGGUGGAAGCCUGAUCCAGCCAUCCCGCGUGAAGGACGACGGCCCUAUGGGUUGUAAACUUCUUUUGUACAGGGAUAAACCUACUCUCGUGAGGGUAGCUGAAGGUACUGUACGAAUAAGCACCGGCUAACUCCGUGCCAGCAGCCGCGGUAAUACGGAGGGUGCGAGCGUUAUCCGGAUUUAUUGGGUUUAAAGGGUCCGCAGGCGGGCUAGUAAGUCAGUGGUGAAAGCCUACAGCUUAACUGUAGAACUGCCGUUGAUACUGCUAGUCUUGAGUAUAGUUGAGGUAGCUGGAAUGAGUAGUGUAGCGGUGAAAUGCAUAGAUAUUACUCAGAACACCGAUUGCGAAGGCAGGUUACCAAGUUAUAACUGACGCUGAGGGACGAAAGCGUGGGGAGCGAACAGGAUUAGAUACCCUGGUAGUCCACGCCGUAAACGAUGCUAACUCGUUUUUGGGCU
rnacentral:rRNA from 1 species